UACGGAGGGGGCUAGCGUUGUUCGGAAUUACUGGGCGUAAAGCGCACGUAGGCGGCUUUGUAAGUCAGGGGUGAAAGCCUGGAGCUCAACUCCGGAAUUGCCUUUAAGACUGCAUCGCUAGAAUUGUGGAGAGGUAAGUGGAAUUCCGAGUGUAGAGGUGAAAUUCGUAGAUAUUCGGAAGAACACCAGUGGCGAAGGCGACUUACUGGACACAUAUUGACGCUGAGGUGCGAAAGCGUGGGGAGCAAACAGG
rnacentral:rRNA from 1 species